AAGCACAAAGUGAACUAUUCUUUCGCCUUUUACUAAAGAAUACCGUGUGGCAUAUGCUUAUUUUUGGAGGAGCUCCUCUUAUUGAGGGCU
rfam:Lupinus angustifolius cultivar Tanjil contig_10725, whole genome shotgun sequence.